UACGUAGGGGGCUAGCGUUGUCCGGAUUUAUUGGGCGUAAAGCGCGUGUAGGCGGCCAGGAAGGUCCGCUGUGAAAACUCGAGGCUCAACCUCGAGAUGUCGGCGGAAACCCUCUGGCUAGAGUCCGGAAGAGGAGAGUGGAAUUCCCGGUGUAGUGGUGAAAUGCGCAGAUAUCGGGAAGAACACCCGUGGCGAAGGCGGCUCUCUGGGACGGUACUGACGCUGAGACGCGAAAGCGUGGGGAGCGAACAGG
rnacentral:rRNA from 1 species